GCUGGUGUGGCUCAGUGGCUAGAGCAUCGGCCUGCGGACUGAAGGAUCCCGGGUUCGAUUCCGGUCCCUGGCA
rnacentral:tRNA from 1 species